rnacentral:rRNA from 1 species
GUUGACCUCGGGUCGGACGAGAUUACCCGCUGAACUUAAGCAUAUCAAUAAGCGGAGGAAAAGAAACCAACAGGGAUUGCCUCAGUAACGGCGAGUGAAGCGGCAACAGCCCAGAUUUGAAAUCUGACUUUCGGGUCCGAGUUGUAAUCUGCAGAUGAGUCUUCCGGCAGAGCGCCGUCCAAGUGCCCUGGAACGGGUCGCCGGAGAGGGUGAGAGCCCCGUACCGACGCGCGCCGAGCCUCUGUGAAGCUCAUUCGAAGAGUCGAGUAGUUUGGAAAUGCUGCUCUAAUUGUGGGGUAAAUCUCCCAUAAGGCUAAAUACCGGCCAGAGACCGAUAGCGCACAAGUAGCGUGAGCGAAAGAUGAAAAGAGCCUUGAACAAGGGCGUCAAAAAGCAUGUGAAAUUGUUGUGGGGGAAGCGUUCGAUGCCAGACAUGGCGGCGGUUGGUUACCCGGCGUUCUUCGCCGGCGCACUCUGCCGUCGCCAGGCCAGCAUCAGUUCGGAUCGAGGCCUACUGCCAGUGGGAACGUGGCUCCUCCGGGAGUGUUAUAGCCCAUUGGUAACGUCUCGGACCGGACUGAGGACCGCGCUUCGGCUCGGAUGCUGGCGUAAUGGCCUCUAGCGACCCGUCUUGAAACACGGACCAAGGAGUUGACCUAGCGUGCGAGUGUUUGGGUGUCAAGCCCUUACGCGCAGUGAAAGCGAAUGCAGGUGGGAGCUUCGGCGCACCAUCGACCGAUCCUGAAGUUUACGGAUGGAUUUGAGUAAGAGCACGUUGGGUCUGACCCGAAAGAAGGUGAACUAUGCAUGAAUAGGGUGAAGCCAGAGGAAACUCUGGUGGAGGCUCGCAGCGGUUCUGACGUGCAAAUCGAUCGUCAAAUUUGUGCAUGGGGGCGAA